GCCGCGGGCAAAUCCGCGCCCAAAAAUAACCGCCCGAAGGCCGGGGCGCCAAGUUCGUCCUGCGGAAAACGGCCACAAAAACGGGUGGGCUAUAGCCUUGGGGGGUGGGGCUGGCCCACUUCGUCCGCCGGACUCGGAAUGCCGCGAGACUUUGUGAGGGGCCUCCGUCCGCCAAAAAUAGGCCGCGGGCAAAGCCACGCCCAAAAAUAACAGCCCGAAGGCCGGGGCGCCAAGUUCGUCCAGUGGAAAAAGGCCACAAAAACGGGUGGGCUAUAGCCUUGGGGGGUGAUGCUGGCCCACUUCGUCCGCCGGACUCGGAAUGCCGCGAGACUUUGCAAGGGGCCUCCGUGUGCCAAAAAUAGGCCGCGGGCAAAGCCACGCCCAAAAAUAACCGCCCGAAGGCCGGGGCGCCAAGUUCGUCCAGUGGAAAAAGGCCACAAAAACGGGUGUGCUAUAGCCUUGGGGGGUGGGGCUAGCCAACUUCGUCCGCGGGACUCGGAAUGCCGCGAGACUUUGCGAGGGGCCUCCGUGUACCAAAAAUAGGCCGCGGGCAAAGCCGCGCCCAAAAAUAACCGCCCGAAGGCCGGGGCGCCAUGUUCGUCCAGCGGAAAAAGGCCACAAAAACGGGUGGGCUAUAGCCUUGGGGGGUGAUGCUGGCCCGCUUCGUCCGCCGGACUCGGAAUACCGCGAGACUUUGCCAGGGGCCUCCGUGUGCCAAAAAUAGGCCGUGGGCUAUGCCGCACCCAAAAAUAACCGCCCGACGGACGGGGCGCCAAGUUCGUCCGGAGGAAAAAAGCCACAAAAACGGGUGGGCUNNNNNNNNNNNNNNNNNNNNNNNNNNNNNNNNNNNNNNNNNNNNNNNNNNNNNNNNNNNNNNNNNNNNNNNNNNNNNNNNNNNNNNNNNNNNNNNNNNNNUUCGCCCGCCGGACUCGGAAUGCCGCGAGACUUUUUGAGGGGACUCCGUGUGCCAAAAAUAGGCCGCGGGCAAAUCCGCGCCCAAAAAUAACCGCCCGAAGGCCGGGGCGCCAAGUUCGUCCUGCGGAAAACGGCCACAAAAACGGGUGGGCUAUAGCCUUGGGGGGUGGGGCUGGCCAACUUCGUCCGCCGGACUCGGAAUGCCGCGAGACUUUGCAAGGGGCCUCCGUGUCCCAAAAAUAGGCCGCGGGCAAAGCCGCGCCCAAAAUUAACUGCCCGAAGACCGGGGCGCCAAGUUCGUCCAGCGGAAAAAGGCCACAAAAACGGGUGGGCUAUAGCCUUGGGGGGUGGGGCUGGCCAACUUCGUCCGCCGGACUCGGAAUGCCGCGAGACUUUGUGAGGGGCCUCCGUGAGCCAAAAAUAGGCAGCGGGCAAAGCCACGCCUAAAAAUAANNNNNNNNNNNNNNNNNNNNNNNNNNNNNNNNNNNNNNNNNNNNNNNNNNNNNNNNNNNNNNNNNNNNNNNNNNNNNNNNNNNNNNNNNNNNNNNNNNNNCCAAGUUCGUCCAGCGGAAAAAGGCCACAAAAACGGGUGGGCUAUAGCCUUGCGGGGUGGGCCUGGCCCACUUCGUCCGCCGGACUCGGAAUGCCACGAGACUUUGCGAGGGCCCGGCGUGUGCCAAAAAUGAGGCCGCGGGCAAAGCCGCGCCCAAAAAUAACCGCCCGAAGGCCGGGGCGCCACGUUUGUCCAGCGGAAAAAGGCCACAAAAACGGGUGGGCUAUAGCCCUGGGGGGUGAUGCUGGCCCACUUCGUCCGCCGGACUCGGAAUGCCGCGAGACUUUGCAAGGGGCCUCCGUGUGCCAAAAAUAGGCCACGGACAAUGCCGCGCCCAAAAAUAACCGCCCGACGGACGGGGCGCCAAGUUCGUCCAGCGGAAAAAAGCCACAAAAACGGGUGGGCUAUAGCCUUGGGGGGUGAUGCUGGCCAACUUCGUCCGCCGGACUCGGAAUGCCGCGAGACUUUUCGAGGGGACUCCGUGUGCCAAAAAUAGGCCGCGGGCAAAUCUGAACCCAAAACUAACCGCCCGAAGGCCGGGACGCCAAGUUCGUCCUGCGGAAAAAGGCCACAAAAACGGGUGGGCUAUAGCCUUGGGGGGGCUGGCCAACUUCCUCCGCCCGACUUGCAAUGACUCGAGAAUUUGUGAGGGGCCUCCGUCCGCCAAAAAUAGGCCGCGGGCAAAGCUACGCCCAAAAAUAACAGCCCGAAGGCUGGGGCGCCAUGUUCGUCCAGCGGAAAAAGGCCACAAAAACGGGUGGGCUAUAGCCUUGGUGGGUGGGCCUGGCCAACUUCGUCCGCCGGACUCGGAAUGCCGCGAGACUUUGCGAGGGGCCGGCGUGUGCCAAAAAUAGGCCGCGGGCAAAGCCGCGCCCAAAACUAACCGCCGGAAGGCCGGGGCGCCAAGUUCGCCCAGCGGAAAAAGGCCACAAAAACGGGUGGGCUAUAGCCUUGGGGGGUGGGGCUGGCCAACUUCGUCCAUCGGACUUGGAAUGCCGCGAGACUUUGCAAGGGGCCUCCGUGGGCCAAAAAUAGGCCGUCGGCAAAUCCGCGCCCAAAAAUAACCGCCCGAAGGCCGAGGCGCCAAGUUCGUCCUGCGGAAAAAGGCCACAAAAACGGGUGGGCUAUAGCCUUGGGGGGUGGGGCUUCCCCACUUCGUCCGCCGGACUCGGAAUGCCACGAGACUUUGCGAGGGCCUCCAUGUGCCAAAAAUAGGCCGUGGGCAAAGCCGCACCCAAAAAUAACCGCCCGAAGGCCGGGGCGCCAACUUCGUCCAGCGGAAAAAGGCCAGAAAAACGGGUGGUCUAUAGCCUUGGGAGGUGGGGCUGGCCAACUUCGUCCGCCGGACUCGGAAUGCCCCGAGACUUUGCGAGGAGCCUCCGUGUGCCAAAAAUAGGCUGCGGGCAAAGCCGCGCCCAAAAAUAACCCCCCGAAGGCCGGGGCGCCAAGUUCGUCCAGCGGAAAAAGGCCACAAAAACGGGUGGGCUAUAGCCUUGGGGGGUGGGGCUGGCCAACUUCGUCCGCCGGAGUCGGAAUGCCGCGAGACUUUACGAGGGGCCUCCGUGUGCCAAAAAUAGGCCGCGGGCAAAGCCGCGCUGAAAAAUAAUCGCCUGACGGCCGGGGCGCCAACUUCGUCCAGCGGAAAAAGGCCACAAAAACGGGUGGGCUAUAGCCUUGGGGGGUGGGGCAGGCCAACUUCGUCCGCCGGACUAUGAAUGCCGCGAGCCUUUGCGAGGGGCUGUCGUGUGCCAAAAAUAGGCCGCCGGCAAAGCCGCGCCCAAAAAUAACCGCCCGAAGGCCGGGUCGCCAAGUUCGUCCAGCGGAAAAAGGCCACAAAAACGGGUGGGCUAUAGCCUUGGGGGGUGGGGCAGGCCAACUUCGUCCGCCGGACUCAGAAUGGCGCAAGACUUUGCGAGGGGCCUCCAUGUGCCAAAAAUAGGCCGCAGUAAAUGCCGCGCCCAAAAAUAACCGCCCGAAGGCCGUGGCGCCAAGUUCGUCCAGCGGAAAAAGGCCACAAAAACGGGUGGGCUAUAGCCUUGGGGGGUGGGGCUGCCCAACUUCGUCCUCCGGACUCGGAUUGCCGUGAGACUUUGCGAGGGGCUUCCGUGUACCAAAAAUAGGCCGCGGGCAAAGCCGCGCCCAAAAAUAACCGCCCGAAGGCCGGGGUUUCAAGUUCGUCCAGUGGAAAAAGGCCACAAAAACGGGUGGGCUAUAGCUUUGGUGGGUGGGGCUGGCCAACAUCGUCCAUUGGACUCGGAAUGCCGCGAGACUUUGCGAGGGGCCUUCUUGGGCCAAAAAUAGGUCGCGGGCAAAGCUACGCCCAAAAAUAACCACCCGAAGGCCGGGGCGCCAAGUUCGUCCAGCGGAAAAAGGCCACAAAAACGGGUGGGCUAUAGCCUUGGGGGGUGGGGCUGGCCAACUUCGUCCGCCGGACUCGGAAUGCCGCGAGACUUUGCAAGGGGCCUCCGUGUGCCAAAAAUAAGCCGCGGGUAAAGCCGCACCCAAAUAUAACCUCCCGAAGGCCGGGGCGCCAAGUUCGUCCAGCGGAAAAAGGCCACAAAAAUGGGUGGGCUAUAGCCUUGGGGGGUGGGGCUGGCCACCUUCGUCCGCCGGACUCGGAAUGCCGCGAGACUUUUCGAGGGGCCUCCGUGUGCCAAAAUUGGCCGCGGGCAAAGCCGCGUCCAAAAAUAACCGCCCGAAGGCCGGGGCGCCAAGUUCGUCCAGCGGAAAAAGGCCACAAAAAUGGGUGGGCUAUAGCCUUGGGGGGUGGGGCUGGCCACCUUCGUCCGCCGGACUCGGAAUGCCGUGAGACUAUGCGAGGGGCCUCCGUGUGCCAAAAAUAGGCCUCGUUCAAAGCCGCGCCCAAAAAUAACCGCCCGAAGGCCGGGGCGCCAAGUUCGUCCAGCGGAAAAAGGCCACAAAAACGGGUGGGCUAUAGCUUUGGGGGGUGGGGCUGGCCAACUUCAUCCAUCGGACUCGGAAUGCCGCGAGACUUCGCGAGGGGCCUCCGUGUGCCAAAAAUAGGCCGCGGGCAAAGCCACCCCCAAAAAUAACUGCCCGAAGGCCGGGGCGCCAAGUUCGUCCAGCGGAAAAAGGCCACAAAAACGGGUGGGCUAUAGCCUUGGGGGGUGGGGCUGGCCAACUUCGUCCGCCGGACUCGGAAUGCCGCGAGACUUUGCAAGGGGCCUCCGUGUCGCAAAAGUAGGCCGCGGGCAAAGCCGCGCCCAAAAUUAACUGCCCGAAGACCGGGGCGCCAAGUUCGUCCAGCGGAAAAAGGCCACAAAAACGGGUGGGCUAUAGCCUUGCGGGGUGGGGCUGCCCAACUUCGUCCGCCGGAUUCGGAAUGCCGCGAGACUUUGCGAGGGGCCUCCGUGUGCCAAAAAUAGACCACAGGCAAAGCCGCGCCCAAAAAUAAUCGCCCGAUGGCCGGGGCGCCAAUUAGUCCAGCGGAAAAAGGCCACAAAAACGGGUGGGCUAUAGCCUUGGGGGGUGGGGCUGGCCCACUUCGUCCGCCGGACUCGGAAUGCCGCAAGACUUUGCGAGGGGCCUCCGUGUGCCAAAAAUAGGCCGCGGGCAAAGCCGCACCCAAAAUUAACCGCCCGAAGGCCAGGGCGCCAAGUUCGUCCAGCGGAAAAAUGCCACAAAAACGGGUGGGCUAUAUCCUUGGGGGGUGAUGCUGGCCAACUUUGUCCGCUGGACUCGGAAUGCCGCGAGACUUUGCGAGGGGCCUCCAUGUGCCAAAAAUAGGCCGCGGACAAAGCCGCGCCCAAAAUUAACCGCCCGAAGGCCGGGGCGCCAAGUUCGUCCAGCGGAAAAAGGCCACAAAAACGGGUGGGCUAUAGGCUUGGGGGGUGGGGCUGGCCGAUUUCGUCCGCCGGACUCGGAAUGCCGCGAGACUUUGCGAGGGGCCUCCGUGUGCAAAAAAUAGGCCGCAGGCAAAGCCGCGCCCAAAAAUAACCGCCCGACAGCCGGGGCGCCAAGUUCGUCCUCCGGAAUAAGUCCAUAAAAACGGGUGGGCUAUAGCCUUGGGGGGUGGGGCUGGCCAACUUCGUCUGCCGGACUCGGAAUGCCGCGAGACUUUGCGAGGGGUCUCCAUGUGCAAAAAAUAGGCCGCGGGCAAAGCCGAGCCAAAAAUUAACCACCCGAAGGCCGGGGCGCCAAGUUCUCCCAGCGGAAAAAGGCCACAAAAACGGGUGGGCUAUAGCCUUGGGGGGUGGGGCUGGCCAACUUCGUCAGCCGGACUCGGAAUGCCACGAGACUUUGCGAGGGGCCUCCGUGUGCCAAAAAUAGGCCGUGGGCAAAGCCGCGCCCAAAAAUAACCGCCCGACGGCCGGAGCGCCCAGUUCGUCCAGCGGAAAAAGGCCACAAAAACGGGUGGGCUAUAGCCUUGGGGGGUGGGGCUGGCCAACUUCGUCCGCCGGACUCGGAAUGCCGCGAGACUUUGCGAGGGGCCUCCGUGUGCCAAAAAUAGGCCGUGGGGAUGUUUAAAAAGGUUCGUGGUUCAAAAUUUUAUGUUAUCUAGUGAUAAAAUUUUGUAGUGCAUUUUAUAGAUAGGUAGCAGCAGCAAGUUCCGGGGCGCCAAGUUCGUCCAGCGGAAAAACGCCAAAAAAAUGGGUGGGGUAUAGCCUUGGAGGUGAUGCUGGCCCACUUCGUCCGCCGGACUCGGAAUGCCGCGAGACUUUGCGAGGGGCCCCCGUGUGCCAAAAAUAGGCCGCGGGCAAAGCCGCGCCCAAAAUUAACCGCCCGAAGGCCGGGGCGCCAAGUUCAUCCAGCGGAAAAAGGCCACAAAAACGGGUGGGCUAUAGCCUUGGGGGGUGGGGCUGGCCAACUUCGUCCGCCGGACUCGGAAUGCCUCGAGACUUUGCGAGGGGCCUCCGUGUGCCAAAAAUAGGCCGCGGGAAAAGCCACGCCCAAAAAUAACCGCCCGACGGCCGGGGCGCCAAGUUCGUCCAGCGGUAAAAGGCCACAAAAACGGUUGGGCUAUAGCCUUGGGGGGUGGGGCUGGCCGACUUCGUCCGCCAGACUCGGAAUGCCGCGAGACUUUGCGAGGGGCCUCUGUGUGCCAAAAAUAGGCCGCGGACAAAGUAGCGACCAAAAAUAACUGCCCGAAGGCCGGGGCGCCAUGUUCGUCCAGCGGAAAAAGGCCACAAAAACGGGUGGGCUAUAGUCUUGGGGGGUGGGCCUGGCCAACUUCGUCCGCCGGACUCGGAAUGCCGCGAGACUUUGCGAGGGGGCUCCAUGUGCAAAAAAUAGGCCGAGGGCAAAGCCGCGCCCAAAAUUGACCGCCCGAAGGCCGGGGCGCCAAGUUCAUCCAGCGGAAAAACACCACAAAAACGGGUGGGCUAUAGCCUUGGGGGGUGGGGCUGGCCAACUUCGUCCGCCGGACUCGGAAUGCCUCGAGACUUUGCGAGGGGCCUACGUGUGCCAAAAAUAGGCCGCAGGAAAAGUCACGCUCAAAAAUAACCACCCGACGGCCGGGGCGCCAAGUUCGUCCAGCGGAAAAAGGCCCCAAAAACGGGUGGGCUAUAGCCUUGGGGUGUGGGGCUGGCCAACUUCGUCCGCCGGACUCGGAAUGCCGCGAGACUUUGCAAGGGGCCUCCAUGUGCCAAAAAUAGGCCGCGGCCAAAGCCGCACCAAAAAUUAACCGCCCGAAGGCCGGGGCGCGUAGUUCAUCCGCCGGAAAAAGGCCACAAAAACGGGUGGGCUAUAGCCUUGGGGGGUGGGGCUGGCCAACUUCGUCCGCCGGACUCGGAAUGCCGUGAGACUUUGCGAGGGGCCUCCGUGUGCCAAAAAUAGGCCGCUGGCAAAGCCGUGCCCAAAAUUAACCGCCCGAAGGCCGGGGCGCCAAGUUCGUCCACCGGAAAAAGGCCACAAAAACGGGUGGGCUAUAGCCUUGGGGGGUGGGGCUGGCCAACUUCGUCCGCCGGACUCGGAAUGCCUCGAAACUUUGUGAGGGUCCUCUGUGAGCCAAAAAUAGGCCGCGGGAAAAGCCAUACCCAAAAAUAACCGCACGACGGCCGGGGCGCCAAGUUCGUCCCACGGAAAAAGGCCACAAAAACGGGUGGGCUAUAGCCUUGGGGGGUGGGGCUGGCCAACUUCGUCCGCCGGACUCGGAAUGCCGCGAGACUUUGCGAGGGGCCUCCAUGUGCCAAAAAUAGGCCGCGGGCAAAGCCGCGCCCAAAAUUAACCGCCCGAAGGCCGGGGCGCCAAGUUCAUCCACCGGAAAAAGGCCACAAAAACGGGUGGGCUAUAGCCUUGGGGGGUGGGGCUGGCCAACUUCGUCCGCCGGACUCGGAAUGCCUCGAGACGUUGCGAGGGUCCUCCGUGUGCCAAAAAUAGGCCGCGGGAAAAGCCACACCCAAAAAUAACCGCCCGACGGCCGGGGCGCCAAGUUCGUCCCGCGGAAAAAGGCCACAAAAACGGGUGGGCUAUAGCCUUGGGGGGUGGGGCUGGCCAACUUCGUCCGCCGGACUCGGAAUGCCGCGAGACUUUGCGAGGGGCCUCCAUGUGCCAAAAAUAGGCCGCGGGCAAAGCCGCGCCCAAAAUUAACAGCCCGAAGGCUGGGGCGCCUAGUUCAUCCACCGGAAAAAGGCCACAAAAACGGGUGGGCUAUAGCCUUGGGGGGUGGGGCUGGCCAACUUCGUCCGCCGGACUCGGAAUGCCGUGAGACUUUGUGAGGGGCCUCCGUGUACCAAAAAUAGGCCGCGGGCAAAGCCGCGCCCAAAAUUAACCGCCAGAAGACCGGGGCGCCAAGUUCGUCCACCGGAAAAAGGCCACAAAAACGGGUGGGCUAUAGCCUUCGGGGGUGGGGCUGGCCAACUUCGUCCGCCGGACUCGGAAUGCCGCGAGAUUUUGCGAGGGGCCUCCGUGUGCAAAAACUAGGCCGCGGGCAAAGCCUCGCCCAAAAAUAACCGCCCGAAGGCCGGGGCGCCAAGUUCAUCAAGCGGAAAAAGGCCACAAAAACGGGUGGGCUAUAGCCUUGGGGGGUGGGGCUGGCCAACUUCGUCCGCCGGACUCGGAAUGCCGUGAGACUUUGCGAGGGGCCUCCGUGUACCAAAAAUAGGCCGCGGGAAAAGCCGCGCCCAAAAAUAACCGCCCGACGGCCGGGGCGCCAAGUUCCUCCAGCGGAAAAAUGCCACAAAAAUGGGUGGGCUAUAGCCUUCGGGGGUGGGGCUGGCCAACUUCGUCCGCCGGACUCGGAAUGCCGCGAGACUUUGCGAGGGGCCUCCGUGUGCCAAAAAUAGGCCGCGGGAAAAGCCGUACCCAAAAAUAACCGCCCGACGGCCAGGGCGCCAAGUUCGUCCAGCAGAAAAAGGCCACAAAAACGGGUGGGCUAUAGCCUUGGGGGGUGGGGCUGGCCAACUUCGUCCGCCGGACUCGGAAUGCCGCGAGACUUUGCGAGGGGCCUCCGUGUGCCAAAAAUAGGCCGCGGGAAAAGCCGCGCCCAAAAAUAACCGCCCGAAGGCCGGGGCGCCUAGUUCAUCCACCGGAAAAAGGCCACAAAAACAGGUGGGCUAUAGCCUUGGGGGGUGGGGCUGGGCAACUUCGUCCGCCGGACUCGGAAUGCCUUGAGACUUUGCGAGGGGCCUCCGUGUGCCAAAAAUAGGCUACGGGCAAAGCCGCACCCAAAAUUAACCGCCCGAAGGCCGGGGCGCCAAGUUCAUCCACCGGAAAAAGAACACAAAAACGGGUGGGCUAUAGCCUUGGGGGGUGGGGCUGGCCAACUUCGUCCGCCGGACUCGGAAUGCCGCGAGAUUUUGGGAGGGGCCUCUCUGUGCCAAAAAUAGGCCGCGGACAAAGCCGCGCCCAAAAUUAACCGCCCGAAGGCCGGGGCGCCAACUUCGUCCUGCGGAAAAAGGCCACAAAAACGGGUGGGCAAUAGCCUUGGGGGGUGAUGCUGGCCAACUUCGUCCGCCGGACUGGGAAUGCCGCGAGACUUUGCGAGGGGCCUCCGUGUGCCAAAAAUAGGCCACGGGAAAAGCCGCGCCCAAAAAUAACUGCCCGACGGCCGGGGCGCCAAGUUCGUCCAGCGGAAAAAGGCCACAAAAACGGGUGGGCUAUAGCCUUGGGGUGUGGGGCUGGCCAACUUCGUCCGCCGGACUCGGAAUGCCGCGAGACUUUGCGAGGGGCCCCUGUGUGCCAAAAAUAGGGCACGGACAAAGCCGCGCCCAAUUUUAACCGCCCGAAGGCCGGGGCGCCAAGUUCGUCCAGCGGUAAAAGGCCACAAAAACGGUUGGGCUAUAGCCUUGGGGGGUGGGGCUGGCCACCUUCGUCCGCCAGACUUUGGGAGGGGCCUCCGUGUGCCAAAAAUAGGCCGCGGGCAAAGCCGCGCCCAAAAUUAACCGCCCGAAGGCCGGGGCGCCAAGUUCGUCC
rnacentral:lncRNA from 1 species